AGAAAUCGUAUUUGUUUCCAGCAUUAUUCCAAAAUUGUUAAUAAACAUUUUUCAGUUUGUCUCGUCUGUGUCUACACAUAUCAAAUUUGUAUUUCCGACGACAAUUUCUAUAUUUAUCCCUAUUUUCGUAAUUUUCCAUUCUGCCAAGACUAGAGCGAGUAGUUCUAAAUCUUCGUAGCGCUUUGCGGGUGUUACGUCUUGCAAUUCUACACCCAUAAGUUCUAUUUUUAUCAUGUUCAGCCUGACACAAAUAUUUGUUCCAAAACUGAACCGCCGUGAUAUUGCUGGAAUAUUGCUAAAAGCGGCGUAAAACCAAACUCACUCACUCACUCCAAAACUGAAACCAAUGAUCACAUCGAAAUCAGCCUUGGCCCAUGUGUACGAUACAUACAGGUGUGUUUCAAACGCCUCAGAAUGUUCUCACAUCUUUCAUGAGAGAUGCCUUGUAUUGGCCAUGUGAUGAGGGAUUGGUCGUCGAUCCACCAUAAUCAUAUCAUACAUUUAUCAGCAUUUUCCACAGUGGUGGCAGUUGAAGGUCUUUCGGAUCUUGGAUCAUCUUCGAGUCUUCUUUUCACAUCUUGAACUCCGCUGCCCACCUCUCAGCAAUGGCAAAAGGAAAAUCAUCUUCUAAAGUUAAUGUUCAGUAUCAUCUGUCACCAGGCGAUAGAUCAAGAGUCAUUGACCGUUUACGUCAAUACCAGCACAAUCAAUGAAUAUGUUCAUAUAAGUAGGACGAAUGUACCGUUAACUGCCCAUUGUUGAAAGGACCUGCACCUGUAAACAGAGAGAUCCUCACCUUAAUACGCCAUGUACGUGCAAGUAUUCAUUCUUCUACUCCUGGUCACCUUGACCCAGGCGUCAUCUUCUCAUGGUCAGAUUGAAACGGAAACAAAUAAAUGGGGGACAGAAAUUUCAUUUUGUACUUACGAAGGUAUUAAGUUCCUGCCAGGGUCGUCAUGGAAAACAACGGAAUGCGAAGAGUGUUCGUGUGAUGAAGACGGAAUGUUCUGUCAGGGAUUCGGUUAUGCGGCGGGGGCACGUGCUGCACCUGAAG